rnacentral:rRNA from 1 species
GACGAACGCUGGCGGCGUGCUUAACACAUGCAAGUCGAACGGAAAGGCCCUGCUUUUGUGGGGUGCUCGAGUGGCGAAAGGGUGAGUAACACGUGAGUAACCUGCCCUUGACUUUGGGAUAACUUCAGGAAACUGGGGCUAAUACCGGAUAGGAGCUCCUGCUGCAUGGUGGGGGUUGGAAAGUUUCGGCGGUUGGGGAUGGACUCGCGGCUUAUCAGCUUGUUGGUGGGGUAGUGGCUUACCAAGGCUUUGACGGGUAGCCGGCCUGAGAGGGUGACCGGCCACAUUGGGACUGAGAUACGGCCCAGACUCCUACGGGAGGCAGCAGUGGGGAAUAUUGCACAAUGGGCGGAAGCCUGAUGCAGCAACGCCGCGUGCGGGAUGACGGCCUUCGGGUUGUAACCCGCUUUCGCCUGUGACGAAGCGUGAGUGACGGUAAUGGGUAAAGAAGCACCGGCUAACUACGUG